rnacentral:rRNA from 1 species
GUAGUCUGCAACUCGACUACAUGAAGCUGGAAUCGCUAGUAAUCGCGAAUCAGAAUGUCGCGGUGAAUACGUUCCCGGGUCUUGUACACACCGCCCGUCACACCAUGGGAGUCAGCAACGCCCGAAGCCGGUGACCCAACCGAAAGGAGGGAGCCGUCGAAGGUGGGGCCGAUAACUGGGGUGAAGUCGUAACAAGGUAGC